CGCCAGCUUGGCAGUGGGGUGGAAGGCUUUAUCAUCUGUCCUUCUCAGAUGCAAGAGGUGAAAACCGUGUACAGAGAGGUUUCCAAGGAAAGGCUAAUGGUACAGCUUUGGGGAUGGAGACAUAUUUUCACCAGGAGUAGACUAUGGUUCAGAGAAGUCUGUUCUUGCUAUUCACCAUGCCAAGAGGCACUUAAGACAGGGAGAAAACACGUGGGGACGCAGAGAGAAAGUAGCCACAUCUGCAAGCCACAGAGAGGGGCCUCAGAAUGAAAUCAACCUGGCUGAUGUCUUGACCUUGGACUUCCAGUCUCCAGAACUUAAUGAAAAUGUUAAGGACAAACCAGAAGGGGCAAAAAUCCCUUCCCUUCCUCUUACAACAGUCCUUUUCUGGCCCCUCUAAGAAGCUAAGUGCAUUAGUGAGCAAAGAAAUGAUCGUAUCAUGCUGGGACGAAAUGGAAGAGGAAGGACAAGCACAGGCAAACUCUGAACUGAGCAGGCACCCUGGAUGCUGUCAGAACAUUCUACGGUGUCCAUGUGGAUCAUUUCUUUCUUUGAUAUCCUGCCACUGUAAGCUGGGUCCUAAUUAGCAGCCAGGAUGUAACAUAACAUAAGUUCUAGAAAUAUGCAGUUUCUGCAAGCAGCCGGCUUCCCUCUUAUUAUGUUAAUAAUGAAGAUAUUCCCCGUGGUACCUUGGGAUGGCGUAUCUGAUAAAAACCAGCAGAACAACUGCAUGUUCCAGACAUUCAUGCUGAAUAAACAGAACAAGCAGAGAUGGUAACAGCUCUGACACAAACUUUCACAGGAAUACAAAUUUGUAAAACUGCCAUUUAAAAUCCCCUUGUGUUUGUUCCAUUAACUGAGCAUACUUUGCUCCACCAAACAUCCAAGACUAAAACGGUACCUAAAUGGGGCACAGAUUAGAUUUUCCCUCAGCACCUGAGGCUAGUGGAAGCCCGGGUAGCUUGCUUUUACAUUGCUUGACCUAGUUCGAGGAUCAUAGUACUGUUUAGUAAGGGCAGAAUCGCUGGUCCCACUAAAAAUCUGGAAACAAGGCCCUGGUCUCAAUUGGCUUGUGCAUUUAUUGAGCCCUGUGGUGUCUGUGCCAGGUGCUAAUGGAAUCAUGGCUCUUGUGCCUCAUGAUGGUGUUCCAAGCUCCUUUUUUAAGUUUGAAGACCCACUUAUACAUGGAAAUAUUAUGGAUCCCUGUGGGAUUAAAACACGAUCUAUUUUUAGCAUUUAUUGAUUUAAUAAAUAUACAUUGAAAGAAUCAAUUAUGAGUUUAACAACACUUUAAAUUUGCAUCUUAUAAUCCAAACAACAUUUACAUAUAUUUGAAUAUAUAUAUAUGCCUUAAUAAAAUUAUUUAUCUAUUCCACAGACCACAGAUCCAGGGUUCUCUUGCAAUAUUUCCUUAGCCAUUGCUCCAGGAGUCCUCAGUCUGUAAUUUAGGAAUCAUUACUAUAGAGUAUACAAAAACGAAUACUCCCUUUUGUUUUGGUUUGUGCCUUUACAGACCUUAUUUCUAAAAUGACUGCAGUCAGGGAAGACUAAAGAGAGCGAGCUGAUGGAAGACUAGUGGAAGCCAUGGCAGAGGGGGUGGAGAGAAAGCCAACAGAAUGGGAGAGAUGAUAAGGAAGAACAAUUGUAGGAGUUGGUGACUGCCCCAGCUGUGGGUGUGAGGUAGAGCGAGGGCCUCAAUGAGAUGUCCCAGGCUCUGUUGUUAUCUAAAUGUUGGGGUCCUUCACCAAAACAAGGCCACAGGCAGAGUCAAUCUACAUGACUCCCUGGACAUUUCUUUUUCUGAGCUCUCCAGAAUGAUCCCUGCUCACAACUGGGGAUGAUACCUUAAGUGCAUUUGUAGCUACAAUGAAGGACCCAUUUUGCUAUUACCCAAAAAUGAGUCAAUUUCAACUCUAUUAAUAUCCAGGGAAUUUCAGCAUAUCACAGGAUCUUGGGAGGAAUUAUCUUCAUCUGAAGCCUCCUGUCAAGGAUAAUUUAGUGUUUACACUGAAUUCAUGGACUGUCCUGUUCUCUGCUUUCUAGCAACACCAAUGUCUUAUUUGUAGGUGAAGGAUGACAAAGGCAAUUUCUCUGGGCACUUUGCUUUACUGUUUGCUUGGAGGCCACAGAAAAGUGGCCAGGGGGGUAAUUACGAUCACCUUCAGGUUGUGAACUCUACUGACUGUAGAAGAAAUGAUGAUUAUAUUUAUAAUUCUAAGUAUAACUGGAUUACUGGAUCUCUUACAACUACCAGGCACUGGGCUACACACUUUAUAUUUUUUAGCUCAAAUAUCACCUCCUUGGAGAAUCCUUCCAUAGCAUUCCCCCUCUCCACUUCCUCCCCAUUAUUCUCUAUAUAUCCAUGAGUUUCAUUUUCUGCAUAGCACUUCUUAUACUCUUAUAAUUAACUUAUUGUCUGAUUCCUUCAUAUGUCAUCUCCAUCCAACUCUAGUCAGUCAUCUCCAUAAUUGGUGGCAGAACUUCUUCAUCAACCUCUCUGUUCCCAGUGCCAAGAGCUUGGCAUCCAAUCAGUAACUUUCUUUUUUCAUUUAAUUGAUAAAUGAUUGGAUUUAAACCUUUCACGAGUUGUGAGUUAGGUACUAGUCCUAACUCAACAUCAUCUCAGUCAAAAACCAUCAGUUUUUUAACUCAACAUCAUCUCAAUCAAAAACCAUCAGUGCGUUAGAGUUCAUUUCCCUUAACAGUGAAAGAAAGGUGCAGGGGAGAUGAGAUAGAAGAAUAAAAAAACAAAUGCAUUUAUAUGUUGAUUUGUGGGUGUCAGCGUGUGUAUACGUGUAUUUAUAUAUUAUUUUGAUAGUGGCUUUGGUGAAGUUGAUACAGGUACAAAAACUGAGUUUGGG
rnacentral:lncRNA from 10 species